GUUUCCGUAGGUGAACCUGCGGAAGGAUCAUUAUUGAAGGACAAUGGGUGGCAAAGGCUGUCGCUGGCUUGAAUGAGCAUGUGCACGUCUUUUGCUGCUUAUUUCAUUCAUUUUUCCUCCUGUGCACAUUUUGUAGACACUUGGGAAUGAGAGGUUGGUUGUAAUGUAAUGAUAUAUAUUGACCUCUUGAGAUCAGUCUGGGUGUCUAUGUCAUUUUUAUAAACACGGCUGCAUGUCUAUAGAAUGAGAUUGUAGGUUUUUAAUAAAAAGCCUUUAAAUGAUAAAGUACAACUUUCAACAACGGAUCUCUUGGCUCUCGCAUCGAUGAAGAACGCAGCGAAAUGCGAUAAAGUAAUGUGAAUUGCAGAAUUCAGUGAAUCAUCGAAUCUUUGAACGCAUCUUGCGCUCCUUGGUAUUCCGAGGAGCAUGCCUGUUUGAGUGUCAUUCAAGUAUCUCAAAAGUUCUUAUGCACUAUGCAAGGAACUUUUGGAUAUUGGGAGUUGCUGGUCACUGAUAAAGUGGUUGGCUCUUCUGAAAAGCAUUAGUUGAGGAGCUCCUUGCACUCUAUUGGUGUGAUAGACUAUCUAUGCCAGGAGAAGCAUUAUGAAGCCUCUGCUGUCUAACAGUCCUAAUUGGACAAUAUGAUAAAAUUGACCUCAAAUCAGGUAGGACUACCCGCUGAACUUAAGCAUAUCAAUAAGCGGAGGAAAAGAAACUAACAAGGAUUCCCUUAGUAACUGCGAGUGAAGAGGGAAAAGCUCAAAUUUAAAAUCUGGCAGUGUUUUGCUGUCCGAGUUGUAACCUAGAGAAGUGUAACCUGUGCUGGACCAUGUAUAAAUCUCCUGGAAUGGAGCAUCGCAGAGGGUGAGAAUCCCGUCUUUGACAUGGACUACCAGUGCAUUGUGGUUGUGCUCUCAACGAGUCGAGUUGUUUGGGAAUGCAGCUCUAAAUGGGUGGUAAAUUCCAUCUAAAGCUAAAUAUUGGCGAGAGACCGAUAGCGAACAAGUACCGUGAGGGAAAGAUGAAAAGAACUUUGGAAAGAGAGUUA
rnacentral:rRNA from 1 species